AAUCAACGCUGGCGGCGUGCCUAACACAUGCAAGUCGAACGAUUAAAGCCCUUUCGGGGGUGGUAUAGAGUGGCGUACGGGUGAGUAACACGUGGGUAAUCUACCUUUGGGUGGGGGAAGUAACUCAGGGAAACUUGAGCUAAUACCGCAUAAUGCAGCGGCUCGACAUCGAGACAGUUGUUAAAGAUUUAUCGCCUGAAGAGGAGCCUGCGCCUGAUUAGCUAGUUGGUGGGGAAUGGCUUACCAAGGCUACGAUCAGUAGCUGGUCUGAGAGGACGGCCAGCCACAAUGGCACUGAAACACGGGCCAUACUCCUACGGGAGGCAGCAGUGGGGUAAUUUUGCGCAAUGGGCGAAAAGCCUGACGCAGCAACGCCGCGUGAAGG
rnacentral:rRNA from 1 species